CCUACGGGGCGCAGCAGUGGGGAAUAUUGCGCAAUGGGCGAAAGCCUGACGCAGCGACGCCGCGUGAGGGAUGAAGGUCUUCGGAUCGUAAAGUUCUGUUGACGGGGAAAAAAGACCGGGAAAGGAAAUGAUCCCGGAGGAGAUAUUACCCGUCGAGGAAGUCACGGCUAACUACGUGCCAGCAGCCGCGGUAAUACGUAGGUGGCGAGCGUUAUCCGGAAUGAUUGGGCGUAAAGGGUGCGUAGGCGGUCGAUUAAGUCUGGAGUGAAAGGUACCGGCUCAACCGGUAUAGGCUCCGGAAACUG
rnacentral:rRNA from 1 species